CCGCUUGACUUCCACCGAUGCCAAGACUGUGC
rnacentral:scRNA from 1 species